rnacentral:rRNA from 1 species
AUUGAACGCCGGCGGCAGGCUUAACACAUGCAAGUCGAGCGGAGAUGAGGUGCCUGCACCUUAUCUUAGCGGCGGACGGGUGAGUAAUGCUUAGGAAUCUGCCUAUUAGUGGGGGACAACAUUCCGAAAGGAAUGCUAAUACCGCAUACGUCCUACGGGAGAAAGCAGGGGAUCUUCGGACCUUGCGCUAAUAGAUGAGCCUAAGUCGGAUUAGCUAGGUGGUGGGGUAAAGGCCUACCAAGGCGACGAUCUGUAGCGGGUCUGAGAGGAUGAGCCGCCAACCUGGGACUGAGACACGGCCCAGACUCCUACGGGAGGCGGCAGUGGGGAAUAUUGGACAAUGGGGGGAACCCUGAUCCAGCCAUGCCGCGUGUGUGAAGAAGGCCUUAUGGUUGUAAAGCACUUUAAGCGAGGAGGAGGCUACUGAGAUUAAUACUCUUGGAUAGUGGACGUUACUCGCAGAAUAAGCACCGGCUAACUCUGUGCCAGCCGCCGCGGUAACAC